rnacentral:rRNA from 1 species
UACGUAGGGUGCAAGCGUUGUCCGGAUUUAUUGGGUUUAAAGGGUGCGUAGGCGGAUUUACAAGUCAGUGGUGAAAUCUCCCAGCUUAACUGGGAAACUGCCAUUGAAACUGUUUAUCUUGAGUACAUUUGAGGCGGGCGGAAUGUGUCAUGUAGAGGUGAAAUUCUUAGAUAUGACACAGAACACCAAUUGCGAAGGCAGCUCGCUAAACUGUAACUGACGCUGAGGCACGAAAGCGUGGGGAUCAAACAGG